CCCGCAGGGCUCCGGGCGGCCGUGACCCUGCUGGAGUGCGGGGGGGACCUCCAGCCCCCCGGGGGGUCCCUGACUCUGCUCUGCCGCGCCUCCGGGUUCAAUUUUGGGAGUUACAACAUGAUGUGGAUCCGCCAGAGCCACGGGAAGGCUCUGGAAUGGGUUGCAGAGAUCUACAGCAACAGUGGUUACACUGACUAUGCACCGUCAGUCAAGGGUCGGUUCAGGAUCUCCAGGGACAACGGGCAGAGCUCGGUGACGCUGACCAUGAACAGCCUCAAGGACGAGGAUUCCGCCGUUUAUUUCUGUGCCAAGGCUGCUACUACUGGUACUACUCUUGCUGGUUCUUUUCAGGUGUGGGAGGAUGCGUCUGAGACGAGCACCGCUGGGAAACAGAUUGUAGCACAUCCCAGCUGA